rnacentral:rRNA from 1 species
ACCUUCGGGCCUUGCGCGGUUGGACGAACCGAUGUGCGAUUAGCUAGUUGGUAGGGUAAUGGCCUACCAAGGCGACGAUCGCUAGCUGGUCUGAGAGGAUGAUCAGCCACACUGGAACUGAGACACGGUCCAGACUCCUACGGGAGGCAGCAGUGGGGAAUAUUGGACAAUGGGCGCAAGCCUGAUCCAGCAAUGCCGCGUGUGUGAAGAAGGCCUUCGGGUUGUAAAGCACUUUUAUCAGGAGCGAAAUACUACCGGCUAAUAUCCGGUGGGGCUGACGGUACCUGAGGAAUAAGCACCGGCUAACUUCGUGCCAGCAGCCGCGGUAAUACGAAGGGUGCAAGCGUUAAUCGGAAUUACUGGGCGUAAAGCGUGCGUAGGCGGUUAUUUAAGUCUGUUGUGAAAUCCCCGGGCUCAACCUGGGAAUGGCAAUGGAUACUGGAUAGCUAGAGUGUGAUAGAGGAUGGUGGAAUUCCCGGUGUAGCGGUGAAAUGCGUAGAGAUCGGGAGGAACAUCAGUGGCGAAGGCGGCCAU